AUGGCGGCCCUCUCUGGCGUUUGUCGCCUUAUCGAACGACACAGAUCAAAGUUAGUGAAAGAACUAGAUGUGGAAAGUAUUUUACCGCGGUUAGUCCGUCAGGGUGUAUUUUCCAAAUCAGAAGAAAGCGAAAUAGUCGCCAUAUCUAAUGCACACAAGCGCACAGACUUCUUUUUGGACACACUAUCUCGGAAAGGACUGGAAGCUUUUCAAGUUUAUUGUGCAGCGUUAGAAGAUUUUGCCCCGCACUUGCUGACCAUGUUUUUAUUGGAGACAUCUGAGGCCGAGGGUGAUGAGAGUAAACCGACCCAGGCGCUACAGCUAGGGUUUGAACUGGCUCUUAAGGAACGGGACGCUGUCCUCCGAGAGAAGUCGAAGGCGGUUGAGGAACGUGAUGUCGCGAUACGUCAUCUACAGCAGCUCAAGUCAGAGCGUGACCUUGCCAUAGCCAGUCUCGAAGACCUCGCUGGGAAACUGCCCAAGAGUGGAAAUAUUCCGAAAAACGAUUCCAGUCCAAGUUUGAAGAAACGGUCCACGUCGCCGGGUAGAAAACAUCGCGCUGCUGUUGCCAUGGAGAGAGACGAUCUAGUAAUCGAGAAUGGAGACAAUAUUCGGUGGGAGACGAAGGAAGUCGUUCUCACAAAGGCUCCCAUGUUUGGUUUCGGUAUAGCUGUGAGUGGGGGAACCGACAGUCCACAUUUCGCUAACGGAGAUCCUUCCAUCGCCAUCUCAGACGUCCUCAGAGCAGGGCCAGCAGAGGGUAAACUACAAGUGAAUGAUCGCAUAGUCAGUGUGAACAGUAUCUCACUGGAGUAUGUUGACCACGCAACGGCCAUCUCCGUUCUCAGGGACUGUGGGAACAAAGUACACUUAAUUAUUCGUCGGAGAAUGAUCGUUCCCAAUCACACAGAAUCAGACUCUCCUCCAUUCAAGAUAACUCUAAACAAAAAGAACAAGAAAGAUGAGUUUGGUAUUGUUCUUGGUUGUAAGUUCUACAUUCGUGAAGUUCAAGGUCACAGCUUGGCAGCAUACGACGGCAGCAUAAAGGAAGGAGACACAGUUCUGAAGAUCAACAACACUCCAGUAGACAACCUGUCCCUGGUGGAGGCGAGGAAAGUGUUAGAAAAGACAAAAGACAAACUGCAGCUGAUUGUUAUAAAGAGAAAACACGACGACAAACACAAACACGUUCACAACAGUCCACAGAAAGAAGAUCACACCCCGGGUUACGACACUCUGCGUCGGCAACAGGACCGUGAAGAUGUCAACAUCUACCGGCCGAGCGUGCGGUCCGAGGAGGACAUCUUCACGCCCGGGUCCCUGCCGACCAGCGUACCCCCCGGUGCCUACCCCAACUCAGAGCAUGUGCAGUAUGACGGCAGAUACGUAUACGAUAAUGAGGCCCCACCCAGGCCUCCUCUUCCCUCAGCUUUUAACGAUAAUCCCGAAAUGGCCCCAAGUCCUAGUAGAAAUGAGGAGUUCUACAGUCCAAAGAAAGAUGGCUACUACGGUGAUAGGGAGACAGUUCAGCAGGGACAGGAGACCAGACUCGAUUAUGAUGAUACGAGAGUCGCGGAUGAAGUUUUUGUCCAUGAAGAGCGCUACGUUGGUAAAAGACUGGACAUGAGGACGGACCCGCGCCGCGUGUCCUUCGUAAAAGACAAGACGAUGGGACUCGGGCUGCGUCUGGCGGGCGGAAACGCCACUGGGAUAUUUAUAGCAUCAGUCCAGCCAGGAACCGCAGCCGAGGCCGAGGGCUUGAUAGAAGGAGAUCAGAUUGUCAUGGCCAAUGAACGAGAUAUGUUGGGUUUGACCCGAGAGGAAGCAGUUUCCCACCUUACCUCCCUUGAAGGGCAGGUAACUCUAAUUGUGCAAUAUAGAAAAGAGGAAUAUGACAGGAUCAUGGCGAGCAUGGAGGCGGGGGAUUCGUUCUAUAUCAAAACACAUUUCAGCAUGGUGGGAACGGAACAGGGGGAGCAUUCGUUUGCUGUUAACGACAUCUUUCAUGUGAAGGACACAUUGUUUCGUGGUGUGGGGGGAUCAUGGUUAGCCAUCAAACUGUCGCCAAAUAACCAGGAGACGAAGAAAGGAACCAUUCCAAACAAACACAAAGCCGAACAGCUGGCGAUUUCCCAGCAGCAGAAUGUGGGUGAGAAAGAGAACUUCCCGGCUAAAGGUCGCGGCAGUCUCUUCAAGAGGAAGGCGGCAAGACGUGCAAAAUCUCUCGGGAAAGACCACUGGGAGGAAGUGAUUUUCUCUGAAACGGGUGCUGGACUCACUACAAAGUAUCCUGCUUAUGAGAGAGUUAUUUUGACUGAACCUGGCUUUAUUCGUCCUGUCGUCAUUUUCGGAGCUAUUGCAGACAUAGCGAGGGAGAGGCUAAAAGCUAUGUUUCCUGACAAGUUUGAAUUCCCACAAACUGGGAAAGGCCUGGACGAGGACAAGAAGUUAAAAUCAGGUAUUAUCCGACUUGGCGCUAUCCGAGACGCGAUCGCUAAGCGUCGGCACUGUCUGCUGGACGUGACCCCACACCACGUGGACCGGCUCAACUACGCCCAGUACUGUCCCAUCACGGUAUUCCUGAAACCGGAGUCGAAACAGGCCGUCAAGGAAAUCAGGUCCAAGUACCGGGGACAUAGCAAAAACCCAAAGAAAGUUUUCGAGCAUAAUGAGAAACUGGAGAAAUUCUACUCACAUUUAUUUACAAGCAUACUUCCUCACAACACGACUGAGAGCUGGUUUCCCCGACUGUGUGAAACCAUUGAGAGUCAACAGCGGAGACAGAUAUGGAUGUCCGAGAAGAAGCCGGAAGAUGACAUUAGUGAUGACUUCCUCUUCCCGAUGCCAAACAGACUGAGUUUCGCAGGCUCGCCUGAGAGUGACAUGGAUCUGAGUCGCGCUCAAGAUGACCUUGACAUGUCGCCCAUGCAGAAGAAACGUCUCGUGAGGUCAUCGUCUGACCCCAGCAUUAACACGAUGGACAAGAUACCCGGGAUUCCCCCCUACCCCUCUCCACCCAGCUACAACAUGGGCUCGCCACAAGACCGGUAUUCAAGACCUGAUAACCAGCUGAGAUCUCAAGAUGCCAAUGAGAUUCGUCCUGAAGACCGCUACUACCCAUCUUACUACGGCGACAGCAUGCCCCGACAAUCUCAUAGUCGUGCUAACAUCGACCCCUACGCUACCUUGACCCCCAGUGAGAGGUUACGAUCAAGAAUGCAAGAUGGUCAAGGGAAGUCACAUGACUUGCCUCAGGAUCGACUCGGCCCUCACAGGGACCGAUACGGGUCAGCCGAUUUGUACCAUGCAGAUUUCGUACCAAACAAACCUGCCGCUCAGCAUAAUUCCCCCAGUCACCCGCCUCCAGUUCAUUCUCACGAACCAAGGGCUCACAAUGAUUCCUCAUCUCACAGCAGUGACUCAUACAGCAAGUACGUGAGUCACCCGUCUAACAAGCACGAUGACACGAAGCUGCGUGAGAAGUUUGGCGCCAUGGGGCUGUCUGGCCGUGAGCGGAGCCCGGGUCAUGACCCGUACCGAUUCACCCGCAGUACCGCAAACCCCGUCGAGCCUGGCCGCGUUGACAAGACCAAGAUUUUAGAUAUCAGUGCUAAAUUCAGGAAAGAAGAUCAGAAACCUGUGUCACCAACAUCCACGCACAGCCCGGGGGUGAGGCAGGAUGGCCCGGGGGUGAAAAAGAAAGAACCUCCCCCAGUGCCGGUGAAAACAUACACACUGAAAGAACGCAGUGCAGAAAUUGCCGACAGGAAGAUGAGAAAUUAUGAAAAUUCUAAUCGAGGAUACAACUACAGCACUGUCCACACAUCGUCUCCCAAUCGUCACGGCGACCGAUCACGUGACAGUGUGGACCAGUCUCGUUACCCCAGCAACCCGGCUGACGGCCUUCCGGAACCUCCGUAUGAGUAUGUUGCGAUCCACCACUCUAACGGCCCAGUGAAGGACCUCCGACACAAAUCUGACAAUCACUUGGACAGGAUCCGACACGACCCCGACCCCUACGACGCACGUUUCAGGGGAGACUACUCCAGCGGCAAGGCUUUCGCAAACCAGAUGUACAUGGACCACAAGGAGUUGGAUCGUGUUCGGUCAGCGAGGGACGUUUAUCGGUCAGCCAACGGGGGGGAUUCUGAUACCUUCCCCCCUCCUCCGCCACUGGAGCAUAGUUACGCUAGGCCAAGGUGAGGCGGGUUUAGUACUAGCAGUCAAAUCAAAAUGGUGAACAGUUAGGUCCCUUUCUUUUGGUGCUGAUGGCUUGUGAACAAAUAAAAAUUCUACAUUUUUUGCUAUGGAAUUCCACGUUAGCAAUAACUGAUAUUUUGAUCCUUGUUCUUGGAUGAAAAGCUUACAAUAACUUUUACAUUUCAAGACCAUGCAAAGAUUUUUGUAUAUAUAUAUAUAUAUAUUUUUGGGGGGAAGGGGGUCAAAUGUGUUUUUAAAACCAAAAUAAUGACCUGUCAAUUGUGACUCUGCCGUUAAUUAAGGAUUUUAAAGAAAAAUGAGAUCUGAAAUAACUGUAUCAAUAUGUUUUUCAGUUUUUUUUGUCAAAUUGUUGUCUGCAAACUUUAAUAUUGUUAUAACUGAAAUCUGUUUGUUACCUUAAGCUUAUUUGUUGUUGAGAGAUUGUAAAUGAUGAAUUAAUUCAAUGCGGGGAGGGGGUGGUGGAAAAAAAAGUAUAUUGCUAAGGACAUGUAUCUGCACUUUAAUACAAUUAAUAUUUGUACACAUUAAUAGUUCUAACAAAUGGUUUAAGAUGGCAGAAAAAUUUUGACAUUGUAUUUUGUAACGAAGGGCAGCAAAAUUAUGACAUUGUACUUUUGUAACGAAGGGCAGCAAAAUUAUGACAUUGUAGUUUUGUAACGAAGGGCAGCAAAAUUAUAACAUUGUAUUUUUUAACAAAGAGUUGUUUAUGGUCUGCAUAUAGUUAUGCCAUCUGUUGCUAUGGUUACUGCUUUUUCACCUGUUUUAUUAUAAAGACUUUAAUGAACCGUUUACAGCCAUCAGCCCAAGCAGUUAGAAAGACGUGCAAUAUUUGUAAAUAGCUAUCAUCCAAAACGUAUCGUACAUCAAGUUGGUAUGAAUUGGGCAUGCAAUCGUUUCGCAGUAGUGCUAAGUAGUAUGGAAUGCCUGUGUUAGCUGGGGAAAGUGCACUUGUAAUAGUGGGUGGGGUUGCCACAUUGCAUUGCAACAGUUCAACAAAAUUAUUAUUGUAGUGCAAAUUGAAGUCAUUUGUGCAAAUUGACAAAAAUAAGCAUACUGUUUAGUCAUGCAAAUGACAACGGUCGUGCGAAAUGACAGCGGUCAGACAAAAUGAUGAUGGUUAUGCAGAAUGACAAGUCGUGCAAAAUGACAACAGUCGUGCAAAAAUGAUGACGGUCGUGCAAAAUGACAACGGUCAUAAAAAAUGACAAGUCAUACAAAAUAAAGUAAGUAGUUCAAAUGCAUUUGUUGUGCAAAAAUAACUCAUUGAUGCAAAAGGACACAAGUUUCGCAAAAUGGUAGUGCAAAAUAGUGAGCCAUGUUUAAGUGGCAUCAGCAAAAUAAUGACAAUGCUGCGAAAUGAAGUCUGAAGCAAAAAUGUCAUUUCUUUUAAUGAAAUGAGAAAAGCAAAAAGACAUGAAUUGCGCAAAGUGAAGUCUUAAUAAAAACGACAAAAUAUGUCCGCAAUUAUGGCAGCAGUGCAAAAUGAUAUCACUUGUGCAAAAUGAUAUCACUUGUGCAAAAUGAAAAUGAUAUCACUUGUGCAAAAUGAUAUCACUUGUGCAAAAUGAAAAUGAUAUCACUUGUGCAAAAUGAAAAUGAUAUCACUUGUGCAAAAUGAAAAUGAUAUCACUUGUGCAAAAUGACUUGUUUUUCAAAAUAGUGCAAAAAUAGCAUUAAUCAUGCAAAAAGACAUUAAUCAUGAAAGCCUACUUCAGUUUUGUGAAGUAACUAAUGUUUGUGAAAAAUUAUGUCAAUUGAUGACAUUUGUACAAAACAAACUGAUGUCAGCUAUGCACAAUGUUUGUUUGUUAAUGGAUUUUGUCAAAUCCUGCAUAAUUAUCUCAUUGUUAUUAACCUUCUCCGAUCCUUUCAUUCUCUCUCUGUCACUCGCUAUUCUUCCUAUAAUCAAAAUAGUUUAGUUAAAAAUCAACAUUUAACAUAAGAUGUAAUAUAUGAAAUAUUUGUUCUAAGUUCUAGGUUGUUCAAAACUAACAGAGCUUGACAAAGCCAACAUCAUUUCUUGUUUGGUUUACUUUUAUUGAAUGAAUAUCUUCAACAAGUUUAAAACAAUGUUCUUGAAUGUAACUUUACCAAAAUGCUUUUCUAUUUUAGAAAGUUGUUUAAGGAUUGUAUUUUAGCAGACUGUUAGGGGUUGAAUUGUAAAAUUGAUUAUAUAGAACACUUGGGGGUUUAAUUUCAUGGGGGCAUGCUGUUAAAAAAUGGUACAUAAUGGUUGGGGCAUGUUUAAUUGUUGUUAUUGUUAAUGUUAUAUACUUUACAUGUUUUCAAAAUACAAAUGUUUGUGGGAACUUUUUAUUUUUGUUGAUAUUUAUAGUGCUCAUAAAGUUUCCUGUUGUGUAUAUUUAUAUAUAUAUAUAUAUAUAUAUAUGUAGAUUUUUCACCUGCAUUAUGUAUAUAGUGCAAAUGAAUAUGAGAGGUUUGGGGAUCAAAACCCUUUUAAAAUUAUUUUCCCACUUGAACUGUUACAUUAGUGACCAAGGUAUAGCAUUGUGUGGGUUUUUUUACCUGCUCACUAUAUACUGUUCAAAUGCCAUUCCUACGGUAUGAAAGGUUUUGGGAUCAAAUCAUUGUUAGUAGACUUUCAAACUUUUCCCAUUCCAAACAGUUUGGAGCAUUAAUGUUUAUGGUUCAUGUUGUUUUAAUUAUGAAUAGUUAUCUAUAUGUACACUAUAAUGUGCAAAUGGCAUUGGAUAGUAACACCUGAGGUAUGGGAGGUUUGGGGAUCGAAACUGUUUGGUGGUUUUCCCCAUUCCAACCAGUUCUCUAGUACAGGUACAUUAAUGACCAUGCUAUAAGUUGUCUGUGAUUGCUGAUAAUCAAAAAUAGUAUCCUCUGUGGUGGUUUCUUGUCUCAUACUGCUGACCACGUGGUAGUAACUCUAGCCUGAACAUCUGGACAUCUCUGUUAAAGAGCCAUCUGUAUGUUUAAUAAUAAUAAAAGAAUAUUAAUAAUACCGAAUAUUUAUCAAACCAUCUAGGAAUCAUCUAUUCUGUAGUGAAGGGUUUAGUUGAGGUGUAAUAUGUUUGAAUAUCACACCAAUGGGUGAUGUACCGGUCUGAGGGCAUCUACAGUUUCUAUAGUAAAUGCAGUGGUUUACUGUGUGGGGAAUAUACAUGUAAAAGAUCCCUUGACAAGAGUAGCCUAUGUGGUGGCAGCAGGUUUCUUCUCUCGUUUGAUUAAAUGCCACAGCUGCCAUAUCAGCUUUUCAUGUGCUGCCAUGUCUGGGAAGAAUACACAAACAUUGCUUGCUGGUUGUCGUGGCAGCAGAAUUCAUCAGUUGUUUGACCAGAUGUCGUAAUUACUAUGAUAAACUCCAUUUACAAUGGGCUGGGUUGUCAGUAAGCAAGUAUUCCUUUCUUUUCAUUUGUAAAUACAUAUAUAUAUUGUAACCUGCUGUAAAGGACACCUAGUAAGUACAGUCACUUGUUUUGUAAAGAUCACCUUUAUUAAGCACUUUUCUAAUGAGAACGUUUUAGAAAGUAUCCCAAAUUUGUGUACAUCUGUGAACCUGCAAAUACAAAUCACUUGCUCAUAAAGGAUUAUAUUUGUAAGGUUUUUAGGUGUCCUUUGUUGACAGGCUGUCAAUUGUAAUAACUUGUUUAUUGUAUUAGGUUAUUCUAUAUGAUUCAUUCAUUUUGAUAGGCUGUCCAUUGUGAAACGUUCUCCUGUGUAAUAGUUUGUCUACUAUAGGCAGGUUAUCGGUUAAUGACAGGUUGAUUGUUGUAGAAGAUUUUCACUGUACAUACACAUUUUAUUCCAUCGAAAACAAGGUUGUAAGUGACAUUUUAUUUAUCACAUUAUAUACUCAAUACCAAGGGCUUCCAAAGCCCGCUUUUCAUUAACACAGUUUUAUACACGUUUCUGUUCACAAGUUUAUUGAUACAGCCCCAGAUACACAGUACCUUUUCCAUACAUACGAUUCUGCGUGCGGCAUUCAUUGACCUAUAUUAAGAUCUUUCAGCACAGUGGUGUCAUAAUGGAAAGUAUUUUCUAGCAGCAUAUAAAAGUACACUCUGAAGGUGUCACGUUUCGUGGUGUAAUCUGCUUGUGAAAAUACAAAUACCGAAAAGCACAUUUCCGAGCUUGGAAACAUGCAUAAGUCACGCGUGGAAUCGCAGUAAAGGCAUACUGUCACAGAUUUAAGGACCUUAUUUCUCUAAAAAUGGAUAAUAAAUACAAAUUACAUUAAUUGUUGGAAACCAAAUCUAGCUAUCACAUCACCGUAACUGAGCCAUGAUGGAGUG
rnacentral:misc_RNA from 1 species